GAUGGACGCUGGCGGCGUGCCUAAUACAUGCAAGUCGAGCGAACGGACGAGAAGCUUGCUUCUCUGAUGUUAGCGGCGGACGGGUGAGUAACACGUGGAUAACCUACCUAUAAGACUGGGAUAACUUCGGGAAACCGGAGCUAAUACCGGAUAAUAUUUUGAACCGCAUGGUUCAAAAGUGAAAGACGGUCUUGCUGUCACUUAUAGAUGGAUCCGCGCUGCAUUAGCUAGUUGGUAAGGUAACGGCUUACCAAGGCAACGAUGCAUAGCCGACCUGAGAGGGUGAUCGGCCACACUGGAACUGAGACACGGUCCAGACUCCUACGGGAGGCAGCAGUAGGGAAUCUUCCGCAAUGGGCGAAAGCCUGACGGAGCAACGCCGCGUGAGUGAUGAAGGUCUUCGGAUCGUAAAACUCUGUUAUUAGGGAAGAACAUAUGUGUAAGUAACUGUGCACAUCUUGACGGUACCUAAUCAGAAAGCCACGGCUAACUACGUGCCAGCAGCCGCGGUAAUACGUAGGUGGCAAGCGUUAUCCGGAAUUAUUGGGCGUAAAGCGCGCGUAGGCGGUUUUUUAAGUCUGAUGUGAAAGCCCACGGCUCAACCGUGGAGGGUCAUUGGAAACUGGAAAACUUGAGUGCAGAAGAGGAAAGUGGAAUUCCAUGUGUAGCGGUGAAAUGCGCAGAGAUAUGGAGGAACACCAGUGGCGAAGGCGACUUUCUGGUCUGUAACUGACGCUGAUGUGCGAAAGCGUGGGGAUCAAACAGGAUUAGAUACCCUGGUAGUCCACGCCGUAAACGAUGAGUGCUAAGUGUUAGGGGGUUUCCGCCCCUUAGUGCUGCAGCUAACGCAUUAAGCACUCCGCCUGGGGAGUACGACCGCAAGGUUGAAACUCAAAGGAAUUGACGGGGACCCGCACAAGCGGUGGAGCAUGUGGUUUAAUUCGAAGCAACGCGAAGAACCUUACCAAAUCUUGACAUCCUUUGACAACUCUAGAGAUAGAGCCUUCCCCUUCGGGGGACAAAGUGACAGGUGGUGCAUGGUUGUCGUCAGCUCGUGUCGUGAGAUGUUGGGUUAAGUCCCGCAACGAGCGCAACCCUUAAGCUUAGUUGCCAUCAUUAAGUUGGGCACUCUAAGUUGACUGCCGGUGACAAACCGGAGGAAGGUGGGGAUGACGUCAAAUCAUCAUGCCCCUUAUGAUUUGGGCUACACACGUGCUACAAUGGACAAUACAAAGGGCAGCGAAACCGCGAGGUCAAGCAAAUCCCAUAAAGUUGUUCUCAGUUCGGAUUGUAGUCUGCAACUCGACUACAUGAAGCUGGAAUCGCUAGUAAUCGUAGAUCGGCAUGCUACGGUGAAUACGUUCCCGGGUCU
rnacentral:rRNA from 1 species